rnacentral:rRNA from 1 species
UACAGAGGUGGCAAGCGUUGUUCGGAAUUACUGGGCGUAAAGGGCGCGUAGGCGGCCUUCUAAGUCGAACGUGAAAUCCCCGGGCUCAACCCGGGAACUGCGUCCGAUACUGGAAGGCUUGAAUCCGGGAGAGGGAUGCGGAAUUCCAGGUGUAGCGGUGAAAUGCGUAGAUAUCUGGAGGAACACCGGUGGCGAAGGCGGCAUCCUGGACCGGCACUGACGCUGAUGAGCGAAAGCCAGGGGAGCAAACGGG